GACGAACCGUGCAAACGUUGUUUGGAAUCACUGGGCUUAAAGGGCGCGUAGGCGGCUCAUCAAGUCGGGGGUGAAAUACUUCAGCUUAACUGGAGAAGUGCCUUCGAUACUGGUGGGCUUGAGGGAGGUAGGGGUCUUUGGAACUUCUGGUGGAGCGGUGAAAUGCGUUGAUAUCAGAAGGAACGCCGGUGGCGAAAGCGAAGGACUGGACCUCUUCUGACGCUGAGGCGCGAAAGCUAGGGGAGCAAACGGG
rnacentral:rRNA from 1 species